rnacentral:lncRNA from 10 species
GGGUGUGGCAGGGCGGGUCUACGGAGGCCUCUUUAGGCCACAGAGCAACGUAAAGCCUAGGCCUGCAGAGACUGCUCAGUCACAGUUGAAGGAGACCUACUGAGUCCUGAGGACAACCAACAAAGGCCUUAACGGCACAGAAGGAAGUCCUGUCUUCUGGGAUUGAGUUUGGUUGUGACAUCAGAAAGUUGAUAGACGUGAUCGCUAAGAAUCUUGCCGAAUAUUCUAGGACUACAAGUAAAAGAGACCCUAUUUUCUGUGCUGGGAAAAGCAUCUGAGUGGACCUAACACAGGGCAGUGAAAGUGAUGCAGAACAAACUUCAAAGCCUCCAGGAGCACACGUGACCUCAGGAAAUGAACAGAAACAACCUAGCUCUCCAAAGAGGAGUAUUUCAUUCAACUCCGAACUGCUCACACAUUAUGCAACUGUGAACAAGGCUCAUUUAAAAAUCCAUGAAGCUUCUAAUGUUUUCACCACAAAAUAUAUUAAGUAUUGAGGUGCUGGAUAUGUUGACUAGUUUGAUUUAAUUAUUCCACAUUAUAUGCAUAAAUAGUAACAUCACCUUGUUCCCCAUAAAAUUAUACAAUUAUAAAUUGUCAAUUUGCAAUUAAAACAAUAAAA